rnacentral:pre_miRNA from 1 species
ACGAAGCAGGUAUACUUAACUUCUGCUCUUCUUUCAUUUCAUGUCUAACAUUCCAUGAAAGAAGGGUAGGAGUUGAGUACACAUGCUUCAUCUGU